rnacentral:lncRNA from 1 species
CUCUCUUCUUCUUCCUUCCCCUCUGUCUGCUUCCAGCUACUUCUCAGACUUGCAGAUGCUGAGCUUGCCAGACCCAGACUCCUGAAUGUCCAUGGUCAGAGCUUGUGAACUUCGUCUUUACAAAAUGCAUCAAGAAAUGCCAGGAUGGGUGCAUAUAACCAUAGACUGCACUUUCUAUGGGCAAACUUGUCAUCUGAAAUCUGUGCUACGCAUGAAGCUGUGGGCUUGUGCCUCCUGAAGCCUGCCACUUUUCUGUGGUCAUUUGGAGAUGAUUAGUGCCAUCGUCCCCCUGUGCCCUCCUCUGUAGACUGGCACCUCGUUGUUGAUACUAAAUGAACCAAGAGAGUUGUCUUCAACCUGGUGGUUAAUGUGGGAGGAGGAUUUGCAGGAAUAAUACCCGGACUCCAAUUAAAAUUUACUUGAAAGAUUAUUAUAAACAUGUUCAGGAGAGGCUAUGUAUAUUAAUCUUUGAGAAAGCAGCUUAUUUGGAGACAGCUAAAGACUGACUUGUGUUUCAGCUCUCUUUAGUACUCAAGCAAGGGUUCAUAAGUCCACUUACACUUGCAUUUCAAAGGAUUUUUUUUCAGCUUCCCUUCACAGAGCCACAGGACAAGAAGGAGGGGAUGUUAGAAAAUAGUGUCUUUAAGAAUAAUGGUGCAGAAAUAAAUGUACUCAGAAAAAUUAUGGAGGAGGUCUG